rnacentral:rRNA from 1 species
AGAUCGAACGCUGGCGGCAGGCCUAACACAUGCAAGUCGAGCGGUAGAGAGGUGCUUGCACCCCUUGAGAGCGGCGGACGGGUGAGUAAUGCCUAGGAAUCUGCCUAGUGGUGGGGGAUAACGUUCGGAAACGGACGCUAAUACCGCAUACGUCCUACGGGAGAAAGCGGGGGACCUUCGGGCCUCGCGCCAUUAGAUGAGCCUAGGUCGGAUUAGCUAGUUGGUGAGGUAAUGGCUCACCAAGGCGACGAUCCGUAACUGGUCUGAGAGGAUGAUCAGUCACACUGGAACUGAGACACGGUCCAGACUCCUACGGGAGGCAGCAGUGGGGAAUAUUGGACAAUGGGCGAAAAGCCUGAUCCAGCCAUGCCGCGUGUGUGAAGAAGGUCUUCGGAUUGUAAAGCAACUUUAAGUUGGAGGAAGGUUGUAACUUAAUACGUUGCAACUUUGACGUUACCGACAGAAUAAGCACCGGCUAAACUCGUGCCAGCAGCCG